GGGCGCUUGGUCUAGAGGCAUGAUUUUCGCUUCGCAUAUUGUUCUAAGAACAGCGCGUCUGUGAAAGGUCGUGGGUUCAAUUCCCACAGUGUCCA
rnacentral:tRNA from 1 species